UCUAUUACCUGGCAGGGGGGAUACCAUGAUCACGAAGGUGGUUUUCCCAGGGCGAGGCUCAUCCAUUGCACUGCGGGUGUGCUGACCCCUGCGAUUUCCCCAAAUGCAGGAAACUUGACUGCAUAAUUUGUGGUAGUGGGGGACUGCGUUCGCGCUCUAA
rnacentral:snRNA from 1 species